CAUACGAUCACCGAAGUUAAGCAACUUCGAGCCUUUUGAGUACCUAGAGGGGUGAACGCAUGGGAAUACCAGGUACUGUAG